GAAGCCAGCAGGACAGGAUCUAGGAGAUCCUGGGCACAGGAAGAGGCUGUUUGGUGUGGGAACUUGAAGACUGGAAGGACAUUUCCUAGCCGAGCAGGGGACUUUCAGGAUUGAGAGCUAGAAGUUCCUAUAGACAUUUCUCUUUUGUUUUCCAAGCAAAUGUAAUAGUAACUUUUCUGAGUAUUGGGGGCUGUGACCCCAGGAAGGGGUGGAGUUGCCAGAUGGAAACCAAAGAUGUGUGGAUCCCCUUGGAGGUAGCACUGGGCCCCAGGGCUGCACACCAGCUCCACUGAUGAUGAAAAGCUCACAGCCGAGUAUCCACUAAGCAAGGACAAGAUGGAAAGCCAGCCUGAAACAGCUGGCCACGGGGCCCCCUGUCCAUCCCUGACUCCUGGAAACAGCUCCACUCCAACCUCCCAGCUGAACAGAAAGAGCCUUAGCCCCCUCAGCAUUCUGCCCCAGCCCUCCUGUCCCCAUCUCCAAGGAGCUCCCAUUCCACUUCCUCCCCUUCUACCCCAGGUACCCACUUCUCCUGCCUCUGCCUUACCUGUUCUCCUAUGGGGCCCUACCUUCUGUCCAGUGUCCCCACCUCUUCAUACUGCCCCAAGACAUUACCUACCCCACCAUGGCUGCACCCAGCUUGCUGAUGACAGCCGAUGAGCCUGGGCACCACAGUGUUCCAGGGCAGACCCUGCUUUGCAACCCUGGGCCCUUCCAAGCCUCUGGCCAUGCCAUGCCCUCCCGGACCCAGGAUCCAUCCUUGGGAAUGGAGUGGGCUGGCAUGACAGCUCCAGGGAAGCGGGCCUCAAUGGGAUCCCGGGCAGGCACCUCGCCCUCCCCUACCCUCUGAAGAAAGAAAACGGCAAAAUCCUGUAUGAGUGCAACAUGUGCAGCAAGAGCUUUGGACAGUUCUCCAACCUUAAGGUCCACCUGCGCGUGCACAGUGGGGAGCGGCCGUUCCAGUGUGCCCUGUGCCAGAAGAGCUUCACCCAGUUCGCCCACCUUCAGAAGCACCACUUGGUGCACACUGGGGAGCGGCCCCACAAGUGCCGGACGUGCCAGAAGUGCUUCAGCAGUUCCAGCAACCUCAAGACUCACCUGUGCCUGCACGUCCAGUGCAGUGUCUGCCCAAAUCACUUCACCCAGCUUGUCCAUUGGAAGCUGCACCAACAGCUCCACACUCCACAACCCGGCGGCCUGGCUCACCCCCACCUGCCCCUGGGCUCUCUUCCCUGCCUUGCCCAAUGGCACCAGCGAGCAUUGGAUCUUGUUGCGGAGCCCUCAGAGAAACAGAUGGGUUGGGACAUGGACAGGGUCAAGGUGUCCUUGGUAUCCCAGGGAAAGCCAGGGCAGCCAGCCUGAGCCAACACUGCUCAGAGGAGAGGGCAAGGGCAGAGCAAUUAAAGGAUUUUCAAAAUGAUGAGUUGAGGCUUCCUGUGCUUCCACAGUGAAGGGGUCACCGUGUAAUUGCCAGACCUCACACUUUACCUGAGAGCAGGUCAGAGGAC
ensembl:lncRNA